rnacentral:rRNA from 1 species
GACGAACGCUGGCGGCGUGCUUAACACAUGCAAGUCGAACGGAAAGGCCCCUUUGGGGGUACUCGAGUGGCGAACGGGUGAGUAACACGUGAGUAACCUGCCCUUGACUUCGGGAUAACUUCAGGAAACUGGGGCUAAUACCGGAUAGGAAUCCUUGCUGCAUGGUGGGGGUUGGAAAGCUUCGGCGGUUUUGGAUGGACUCGCGGCUUAUCAGCUUGUUGGUGGGGUAGUGGAUUACCAAGGCUUUGACGGGUAGCCGGACUGAGAGGGCGACCGGCCACAUUGGGACUGAGAUACGGCCCAGACUCCUACGGGAGGCAGCAGUGGGGAAUAUUGCACAAUGGGCGGAAGCCUGAUGCAGAAACGCCGCGUGCGGGAUGACGGCCUUCGGGUUGUAAACCGCUUUCAGCAGGGGCGAAGCUUGUGGUGACGGUACCUGCAGAAGAAGCACCGGCUAACUACGUG